CAAGAAAUAGUUUAAUUAAAAUUUUAAUUUUGGAGAUUAAAGAUAGGGGAGUACUCUUUUUCUUGA
rnacentral:tRNA from 1 species